rnacentral:rRNA from 1 species
UACGAAGGGGGCUAGCGUUGCUCGGAAUCACUGGGCGUAAAGGGUGCGUAGGCGGCUUUGUAAGUCAGUGGUGAAAUAUGGCAGCUCAACUGUCAAGGUGCCAUUGAUACUGCAGAGCUUGAGUACAGAUGAGGUAGGCGGAAUUGACGGUGUAGCGGUGAAAUGCUUAGAUAUCGUCAAGAACACCUAUAGCGAAGGCAGCUUACUAGGCUGUAACUGACGCUGAGGCACGAAAGUGUGGGGAUCAAACAGG